AAUGGACGAGAGUCUGAACCAGCCAUGUAGCGUGAAGGAUGACUGCCCUAUGGGUUGUAAACUUCUUUUAUAAGGGAAUAAAGUGAGGGACGUGUCCCUUUUUGUAUGUACCUUAUGAAUAAGGAUCGGCUAACUCCGUGCCAGCAGCCGCGGUAAUACGGAGGAUCCAAGCGUUAUCCGGAUUUAUUGGGUUUAAAGGGAGCGUAGGUUGACGUAUAAGUCAGCUGUGAAAGUUUACGGCUCAACCGUGAAAUUGCAGUUGAUACUGUAUGUCUUGAGUAUACAAGAGGUGGGCGGAAUUCGUGGUGUAGCGGUGAAAUGCUUAGAUAUCACGAAGAACUCCAAUUGCGAAGGCAGCUUACUAAGCUACAACUGACACUGAAGCACGAAAGCGUGGGGAUCAAA
rnacentral:rRNA from 1 species